rnacentral:lncRNA from 1 species
CGAGGGACACGGAACACCCCACCUGCAGGAAUUUAUGAGUGUGGGGUUAAGUUAUUUCUAACCUCCAUAAUGGAAAGUUCCCUUCAGGAUCCCCUUCAGAAACUAUUGAUUUUCCAGUACAGUGUGUACUUAUCAGUAACGCCAAGAUUUUGUGGCAUCAUCUGGCCAUGUCAUUAGAAAACGGCUGAAACCCUAUUCUUUUUUUUUCUUCUUCUUUUAGCAAAAUUCAACAUAACGAACUACACUAGGCACUAUGGAUAACGCCAUCCUGUGCAUUAAUUGUGAAUUGCAUAAGGUCUGGAGUAUCUUCCUGUAUAUCUCUGCCAAUAAGGUCGACUAAACAUGCAGAAAGCUAUGGCUGAAGCAAGGAUCCAUCACUGAUACAAUGAGAGAAUGAUGGUACCUGGGGAUGUGCUGUUUGCGGGGGUUGCUGCAAGCUGCCUUGGAAGGAUUUCUCUCUGCACCUCUUACCUCCAGCCUUCUGAGGGUGCCUGCCUUAGUUUCAGUGGCCCACACACUGGAAGAUCUCUCAGGAGGAUCCUCAGCCCUGCUGUCAGCCUUUCAGUGUAGUACACGUGGAGACCUGUGGGAAAGAGUCUUUGGGUGAGUGCAGAUUUGCUCUCUGACUGGGUCUUCUUGGAAUUGUAUCUGCCAGGCCAGCCUGCCCAU